GAACGAGUUCUCGUUGAUGAUCGGUGCUUGCACCGAGAUUCAACAUGGAACGAGUGGCGGACGGGUGAGUAACACGUGGGUAACCUGCCCUUAAGUGGGGGAUAACAUUUGGAAACAGAUGCUAAUACCGCAUAGAUCCAAGAACCGCAUGGUUCUUGGCUGAAAGAUGGCGUAAGCUAUCGCUUUUGGAUGGACCCGCGGCGUAUUAGCUAGUUGGUGAGGUAAUGGCUCACCAAGGCGAUGAUACGUAGCCGAACUGAGAGGUUGAUCGGCCACAUUGGGACUGAGACACGGCCCAAACUCCUACGGGAGGCAGCAGUAGGGAAUCUUCCACAAUGGACGCAAGUCUGAUGGAGCAACGCCGCGUGAGUGAAGAAGGCUUUCGGGUCGUAAAACUCUGUUGUUGGAGAAGAAUGGUCGGCAGAGUAACUGUUGUCGGCGUGACGGUAUCCAACCAGAAAGCCACGGCUAACUACGUGCCAGCAGCCGCGGUAAUACGUAGGUGGCAAGCGUUAUCCGGAUUUAUUGGGCGUAAAGCGAGCGCAGGCGGUUUUUUAAGUCUGAUGUGAAAGCCCUCGGCUUAACCGAGGAAGCGCAUCGGAAACUGGGAAACUUGAGUGCAGAAGAGGACAGUGGAACUCCAUGUGUAGCGGUGAAAUGCGUAGAUAUAUGGAAGAACACCAGUGGCGAAGGCGGCUGUCUGGUCUGUAACUGACGCUGAGGCUCGAAAGCAUGGGUAGCGAACAGGAUUAGAUACCCUGGUAGUCCAUGCCGUAAACGAUGAAUGCUAGGUGUUGGAGGGUUUCCGCCCUUCAGUGCCGCAGCUAACGCAUUAAGCAUUCCGCCUGGGGAGUACGACCGCAAGGUUGAAACUCAAAGGAAUUGACGGGGGCCCGCACAAGCGGUGGAGCAUGUGGUUUAAUUCGAAGCAACGCGAAGAACCUUACCAGGUCUUGACAUCUUUUGAUCACCUGAGAGAUCAGGUUUCCCCUUCGGGGGCAAAA
rnacentral:rRNA from 1 species